rnacentral:rRNA from 1 species
UAGGGAAUCUUCCACAAUGGACGAAAGUCUGAUGGAGCAACGCCGCGUGAGUGAAGAAGGUUUUCGGAUCGUAAAGCUCUGUUGUUGGUGAAGAAGGAUAGAGGCAGUAACUGGUCUUUAUUUGACGGUAAUCAACCAGAAAGUCACGGCUAACUACGUGCCAGCAGCCGCGGUAAUACGUAGGUGGCAAGCGUUGUCCGGAUUUAUUGGGCGUAAAGCGAGCGCAGGCGGAAUGAUAAGUCUGAUGUGAAAGCCCACGGCUCAACCGUGGAACUGCAUCGGAAACUGUCAUCCUUGAGUGCAGAAGAGGAGAGUGGAACUCCAUGUGUAGCGGUGGAAUGCGUAGAUAUAUGGAAGAACACCAGUGGCGAAGGCGGCUCUCUGGUCUGCAACUGACGCUGAGGCUCGAAAGCAUGGGUAGCGAACAGGAUUAGAUACCCUGGUAGUCCAUGCCGUAAACGAUGAGCGCUAGGUGUUGGGGACUUUCCGGUCCUCAGUGCCGCAGCAAACGCAUUAAGCGCUCCGCCUGGGGAGUACGACCGCAAGGUUGAAAC